GAAACGAUAGCUAAUACCGCAUAAGAGUAGAUGUUGCAUGACGUUUGCUUAAAAGGUGCAAUUGCAUCACUACCAGAUGGACCUGCGUUGUAUUAGCUAGUUGGUGGGGUAACGGGCUCACCAAGGCGACGAUACAUAGCCGACCUGAGAGGGUGAUCGGCCACACUGGGACUGAGACACGGCCCAG
rnacentral:rRNA from 1 species